CGGCGUGGGGCGGACCCGCGGGGCGGGACUGGAAGCCCGGUUCCUGCCCGAGCUGGGCCGCAAGGCUGAAGAUCAGCUGGAAAAAGGGCUUUUGAAUGGAUCCAACACAGAGGAAUGAAGGAGCCUUGUGAAAAGGCGUUGCAGGCUUUUGAUUGGAAGGACUUGUUCUGAGGGCAGAAACCUUGUUCUGCCCUCAGCAGCAGAGGAAUGCUGAAUCUUCGUGUUUUGCAACCUGUAUGAACACUUCAACUGUAGCACCUAGGAAACCAGACACACCAUUUGCUCCAGCCCUGAUGUUCUUUGGUCUUCAGCAGAAGGAAGAUUUUCAUGUGAACCAGAGGUAAAUUGAAGGGCAAAAUGAUUAAUAGCCAAGUAUGCACCCGAUGGCUUUUGUCUUUACAAG